AUACUUUCCAGCAACAUAUCACCGCCCAGCCCCUUACUUAAUUCCUUCACUCAACUGCCAACAUAUACAACAUCAAUAAUUCCCACCCACUAGAACAUAUAUUGUUACACAACAAUUCAUAUUUAAACCAUUUACACAUAUUUCUACUACAAAACAAAGAUCAUAACAGAAUUUCAAACGCGUGCGUAUGCCCAUGCCGUCGUGCGCUCUGUCACAUCUUUUUCUUCAAGCAUGCCCGACAAACAGUACACUGGAGGGAUGACUUCUCUGGUUUUUCUGGUCCUUGGCUUCAAUUUCGUUGGUUUUUGUCGAAGAUUGGAGGAUUUUUGGAAUGAUUCGAAGCAUAUUCCUUAUCCUAUUUUGGGGUUUGAAUUUCGAAAUUCGAAUUUCAUUCAAAAAAUACCCGAGAAUCCUUAUCCAUUUUCCCCCAGUUCUUCUCCUAUAUGAGGUCACUUCUUCUACAGUGGUAGGGCGGAUUUUUUUUUUUGGAUUUCUUUAAAGACAAAAUAUAGGUUCAAAAAUAUAGUGAUUUUACCUUGAAGACAAGAAAAAUCUGUUGAAGUUACUAACAUUCCUGUCAAGUCGAGAAAGGCUCUUGAACUUGAAGUUUUCAGUUCGUUAAUUUUCUUCGGUGAAGUUUCGUCGUGGUGUGGAAAUUGACUUCUGCUCGCCGUCUCGGACGCUGCUCAUAAAGAGGUCUGUUAAUGUUGGGGUCUGAAUGGAACAAAUUAGUAAUAACUAAUCAGCCAUAUAGUGACCAUUUGGAUGGUCUCAAUUAGUAUGUCAAAUUUCGUCCUUUUAAAUCUCUGAGUUUUGAUUGGUAUUAUUUAUUUUGCCUUCUAUCAUCCAGUCUAGCAUGCGUGUCUAUUUUUUUUUUACACUCUUCUAUAUUAAAUCAAUGAUUUAUCACUUACGUAUUUUUAUUUUAUGUUGCAUGUGAUGUUCGUCUGAGUCUUUGUGGACUUUCUCCUUCCUGUGCAUUUUCGGGGUGAGCCACGGAGUCUCAAUUCUCUUCAUCGAGUCAACUUCAUCCCGGAAGCUAAAUACAGAUGUACGGGAAGUUGAUAUACAGUCUAUAUACAGUUGUGAUACAGAGAAAUAGGUCAAAAGUCCUAAAUGCAGGUGGCCCAACUACUCAGUCCAGGCGUACAAAAACUAAGUGUUGGGUCAGAUUUUCGUAUUUUCAUUAUUUUAUUUAUUUAUUAUUUAAUUCGGAUUGUAAUAAUUUAUUUACUUAUGUAAUUUAUGCUUGCUUAGAUAUUAAUUUUAAUUUAUUUUAACUUAA